ACUACGGGUGGCAGCAGUGGGGAAUAUUGCGCAAUGGGCGAAAGCCUGACGCAGCGACGCCGCGUGUGGGAUGAAGGUCUUCGGAUCGUAAACCUCUGUCAGCAGGGAAGAACGGUCACUGUGCUAAUCAGCAGUGAAUUGACGGUACCUGCAAAGGAAGCACCGGCUAACUCCGUGCCAGCAGCCGCGGUAAUACGGAGGGUGCGAGCGUUAAUCGGAAUUACUGGGCGUAAAGCGCUCGUAGGCGGUAUGUCAAGUCAAGUGUGAAAUCCCCGGGCUCAACGUGGGAACUGCCUUUGAAACUGGCAGACUAGAGGGUGUGAGAGGAGAGUGGAAGUCCAGGUGUAGGAGUGAAAUCCGUAGAGAUCUGGAGGAACAUCAGUGGCGAAGGCGACCAUCUGGCACAGGACUGACGCUGAGGAGCGAAAGCGUGGGUAGCAAACAGGAUUAGAUACCCUUGUAGUC
rnacentral:rRNA from 1 species